rnacentral:hammerhead_ribozyme from 1 species
GUGCGAAACAGGGCGGCUGCGCCGCCCUGUCUGCCCGGCGUGGUGGUCGGGUACUGAUGAGCAACCAAAU